UGGUAGUCCACGCUGUAAACGAUGUCGAUUUGAAGGUUGUUCCCUUGAGGAGUGGCUUUCGGAGCUAACGCGUUAAAUCGACCGCCUGGGGAGUACGGCCGCAAGGUUAAAACUCAAAUGAAUUGACGGGGGCCCGCACAAGCGGUGGAGCAUGUGGUUUAAUUCGAUGCAACGCGAAGAACCUUACCUACUCUUGACAUCCAGAGAAUUUAGCAGAGAUGCUUUAGUGCCUUCGGGAACUCUGAGACAGGUGCUGCAUGGCUGUCGUCAGCUCGUGUUGUGAAAUGUUGGGUUAAGUCCCGCAACGAGCGCAACCCUUAUCCUUUGUUGCCAGCGAUUCGGUCGGGAACUCAAAGGAGACUGCCGGUGAUAAACCGGAGGAAGGUGGGGAUGACGUCAAGUCAUCAUGGCCCUUACGAGUAGGGCUACACACGUGCUACAAUGGCAGAUACAAAGAGAAGCGACCUCGCGAGAGCAAGCGGAACUCAUAAAGUCUGUCGUAGUCCGGAUUGGAGUCUGCAACUCGACUCCAUGAAGUCGGAAUCGCUAGUAAUCGUAGAUCAGAAUGCUACGGUGAAUACGUUCCCGGGCCUUGUACACACCGCCCGUCACACCAUGGGAGUGGGUUGCAAAAGAAGUAGGUAGCUUAACCUUCGGGAGGGCGCUUACCACUUUGUGAUUCAUGA
rnacentral:rRNA from 1 species